UAUGUGCAUCAAAAUAGACAAUUUGGAGAACGUAAAUGCAACAAAAGAUGAAUACAGACCCAAGCAAUACAAGUAGUAAUGUUUGGGACUAUGGGGUGAAAUUUUCCGUCACAUUAAUUUGAAAGACAUCAUUGUUCAACGCCCAAUUUGAAGGGAACGAGAGCUUACUUUCUAAGCUAAACUGUGAAUAAUGGAGAUCGAAGCCGGAAGGCGAGGUAGACGGAAAAACUGGCCGCCUGCCCCCCUUCUCGUGUAGCCGUAACACGGCGGCGAUCAACUCAUCAACGGUGGCCUCCGGCGCCAUCACUACUUGCACGGCACCGAGGCUCCUUUGUAUCGUCACAUUAACCAACAACUUCGUCAGCUUAGGUUUUCCGUGUGGCAAUGCCGGCAAAUUUGCAACAACUCUUUUCCCGGUGAAAAAUUCCUUUGCCGUCCUUGUCCUUGGCUGCAUCUCCAGCCCAGUCCCGCCGCUUGAGGUUUUCCCCGAUAACUUUCCCUUCUCGUUCUCCUCGUGGCCUCCUUCACGGUAAUUCUUCGGUGACGGCAUUUAAUAUAGAUGACUCUGGAUUCUGUAUAUAUGUGGUGUGGGUGGCAAUAUCCCCUCUAUCUUAGAAGAGGGGAUCCCAAAUUACUGUUCAUCUGUGAUUUGUUAUCACACUUUACUGUUCCAUGCGUGGACAAAAGAAUGACAAUUUUGAUAUUUCUCGUAUUUUUCACAUGCCACAAUGAUCGAGGGAGUGGAUUGUUCAUUUCAAACCUCUCAACGUCAAAUCCUGUGUUUAUAUCUUCUCUCAUAUGCGAGUUAAUUGUCACAAUUGUCACUAAACCCUUGUUUGAAUCCCAUUUUUGGGAUAAAAUAAAUUAUGAAAUAGUAAUUUUUUGAAAAAUGUGUAGUUAAAAAGUAAGGAAAUUUUUUUAAAAUUUGUGUAUAAUUAUUUUAUUGAAAAAUGUGUGGUUGAAAAUGAGUUUUGAAAAAAUGGGAAUCAAUUUAUUGCGCAUCGAAAUUUAAGAUGUCGAAUUUUGAUUAUUAAACUUAUCAAAAUAUUGGAUAUUACUCACUAUCUUAACAUUCAUUCUAAUCCUUUAAUAUAAUUAAUGACGUGGCUAACAGAAUAUACAUAUGGCGCCUUGUCACGCCAUUAAUACAUUGAUACGUCUUCGAUUGCUCACCAAACUUUAAAAAAUAUUUUCAAUUGCUCAACAAAUUUCUUAAAAAUGUCUUUAAUUGCUCACUAAAUUUUGAAAAAUGUAUUCAAUUGCUCACUGAACUUUGAGGUGGUCGAAUUUUGGCCACUAAAUUUAUAAAAAUAAUAUCGACUUACUGUUCAAAAAAAAUAUGCAGCACAAUUGCACAGAUCGCUUCAAAGUAAUAAAGUAGACAAAUGAGUUUAUGUUGUCAAUCCCACGAGAAAUUAUUACUCAAUUACACAAUAGUUAAAUUUAAUUUUUAAAAUUUUUUGUAGAAUUUUUAGCUAUUUUCAUCAUUUAAAAUAUUUGAUUAUUGUAACAAAACACACAAUAAAUUUAAUUAAAUGAAUUUCAUUUACUUUUGGUCCCUCCGGAAAAUGGAUUGUGUUUCGUUACGAAAAUUCGAAUUUUAAAUAAAUUUAUUGGGUGUUUUGUUGUAAAAUCCAUUUAAUUAAAUUUAUUGUCUUUUUCUGCAAAAUUCAAAUAUUAAUAAAUUUUAAUAACGAAAUAGUCUAAAAGUCUACAAAAUAUAUUAAAAUUAAAUUUAACAAUUGUGUAAUUGAGUAAUCAUUUCUUGUGAAAUUGACAAUUUGAAUUCAUUUGUCCACUUUAUUAUUUUUUUAUGUGACACAUGCGGUAGCGCUACAUAUUUUUUAAUGAACAAUAGGUCAAAAACAUUUUUUAUAAAUUUAGUGGUCAAAAUUCGACCAUCGCAAAAGUUUGUGAGUAAUCGAAGACAUUUUUCAAAGUUUAGUGAGCAAUUAAAGACAUUUUUCAAAGUUUGGUUAGCAAUCAAAGAUGUAACAAUUUGUUAACGGUAUAAUGAGGCACCACAUGUAUAUUCUAUUAGCUAUGUCGCUAAUUUCAUAAAAGAAUUGGAACGGAUGUUAGAGUAGUGAGUAACAUUCAACAUUUUGAUAAGUUUAAUGGUCAAAACUUAACAUAUUAAGCUUUACUGAGCAAUUGAAUAUAGAGACAUAAGUUCGAUGACCAUUGGGACAAUUAACUCCUCAUGUGCCAAACUGAAUUUUUUAACCUUUUCCCUUCCCUUUCGUUCCUAGCAGCUUGAGGAAUCCCUUUCCCUUUUUCGUUCCACCCAACAUGUCCGUUUGAUUCCUCUCCUUUUGGUUAGCUUGUAUAGAGCUCUUCCUAUACACUUACCAGCCUACUAGAUGUUACUUUUGCUAAGGUUUGCGUAAUAACUUAAUGAUUCUACUUUCUCUCAUGUCUGGAGGUUGAUUGUAGAAUGAUUGUAUAUCAAAAGCUAGGUGUUCUUAGCGCAUAAGCAAUAUUCAAACUCGAAUUCAUCGGCAUAGUCUUUGGUGUCAAAUGGUGGUUCUGGAUCAAAGUAUUUUCCUCAACUAUCAUGUGAUCAAAUUUCACGUUCAUAUGUAACAAUGAAGGCUAUUGUUUAAAAUAAUUUUAAAAAAAAGUGUUAUUGAAGAUUAGGUCUUGUUCUUGAGGCCAUUUUUAUAAUCCUUUUAUUAAUGCAUAUUUGUUAUUUUUUUAUGUUAGAAAUUUGCGCAUCAACUUGUGUAUUAGAAAAUUGUGAUCAUUUUUUACAAAAAGGAUAUUUCGGUAAAUGCAUGUCAAAAAUGUCUACCUUUGCAAAGUCUUCCAAAAUUGACCACAUUUCAAGUUCACCACCUCAAUUUUGACUGGAUAUCGAGGUUGCUCUAGUAAAAAUUGAACAACCAACCUCUCAAAGCUGCUGUCCAUGUUUUUACUAAGGAGAAGAGAAAACAACUCUAAAUGCAGCCAAAAGACCAAAAUAAUCUGCCGAGUAACUAUGGACCUUAUAGACUAAUAAGGAUAUAAUUAAAAGAAUAAUCCUAUUUAGCACCGGUGGUAUGAACAUCAAUUUAGGUGAAACGCACGGAUUAAAGCUGUAAUUAACUUCACAGCAAAAUAUCCAUUAACUUGAGACCAUGCAACCCAAUAUAGGAAGGCUUGGCAACUUCCUUCGAAGAAGCCGCUGCAGCGCCAUGACUGACCGUGGUGGCAGCCUUCUUCUUUGGGCAGAGAAAGAAGUUUCUUGAUCCCAACGCCAUUAAAUUUUCCUCCCUAUUUAUACCUGUUGAAGCCACUUAAUUACUAAGCAAACCAUCUAUUUGUUUACAAGUAUCAAAGAGGUGAUUACUUAAAUAUUACAAUUUAUUGUACUCGAUUCCACAUUAUUUCUGGUCACAUUUAGUCACCAAACUGUCUUAUCUAGUAAUUGGAUGAAAAUCGCUCGACUUUCUUUCGAAAAAAAUACUUACACCUGAAAUAUAGAUCAACUAUUGAGACCCCAUUUAGCCGAGCUUUUACUUUUGUAAAAGAGCUUCGUAAAAACAAAAAAGCAUUUUACUUGAUUUUUGAGAACUAAUUUCAAAAGACAACUUUAAAAUGAAAUCACAAUGGAUCGAUUUCUUCAAAAAAAAUCUUCUAUCCAAUAGAAGUUAAUUUAUAAAAUUAUUCAAAUAUGCCCAAAAAAAAAUUUUAAAUCUCAAAAGCAACCCAGAACCUAAUACCAUCCAUUUAUCUUUCUGUGUAUCAAACUAGACAAUUUGGGGAACUUAAAUGCAACAAAAGAUGAAUACAGACCCAAGCAAUACAAGUAGUAAUGUUUGGAGACUAUGGGGUGAAAUUUCCGUAACAUUAAUUUGAAAGACAUCAUUGUUCAACGCCCAAUUUGAAGGAAACGAGAGCUUACUUUCUAAGCUAAACUGUGAAUAAUGGAGAUCGAAGCCGGAAGGCGAGGUAGAUGGAAAAACUGGCCGCCUGCCCCCCUUCUCGUGCAGCCGUAACUCGGCUGCGAUCAACUCAUCAACGGUGGCCUCCGGCGCCAUCACUACUUGCACGGCACCGAGGCUCCUCUGUAUCGUCACAUUAACCAACA
rnacentral:lncRNA from 1 species